GACGAACGCUGGCGGCGUGCUUAACACAUGCAAGUCGAACGGAAAGGCCUUUUCGGGGGUACUCGAGUGGCGAACGGGUGAGUAACACGUGGGUGAUCUGCCCUGCACUCUGGGAUAAGCCUGGGAAACUGGGUCUAAUACCGGAUAGGACCGCACUUUAGUGUGUGUGGUGGAAAGUUUUUUCGGUGUAGGAUGAGCCCGCGGCCUAUCAGCCUGUUGGUGGGGUAAUGGCCUACCAAGGCGGCGACGGGUAGCCGGACUGAGAGGUUGGUCGGCCACAUUGGGACUGAGAUACGGCCCAGACUCCUACGGGGGGCAGCAGUGGGGAAUAUUGCACAAUGGGCGCAAGCCUGAUGCAGCGACGCCGCGUGGGGGAUGACGGCCUUCGGGUUGUAAACUCCUUUCGCCAGGGACGAAGCGUUUUGUGACGGUACCUGGAGAAGAAGCACCGGCUAACUACGUG
rnacentral:rRNA from 1 species